CGUGCGCGCCGGCGCCGGCGCGCCUCCGGCCGGGGGCGGGGCCCGGGAGCGCCGCGCGCGUGCGCG
rnacentral:precursor_RNA from 1 species